rnacentral:rRNA from 1 species
UACAGAGGUCUCAAGCGUUGUUCGGAAUCACUGGGCGUAAAGGGUGCGUAGGCGGCGGGGAAAGUCAGAUGUGAAAUCCGGAGGCUCAACCUCCGAAUUGCAUCCGAUACUCCCUCGCUAGAGAGUUGUAGAGGAGCUUGGAAUUCUCGGUGUAGCAGUGAAAUGCGUAGAUAUCGAGAAGAACGCUCGCAGCGAAGGCGAAGCUCUGGGCAAUUUCUGACGCUGAUGCACGAAGGCUAGGGGAGCAAACGGG